AAGUAAAAUGCCUGAUUUAAAGGAUUAUCUUGAUAGGAUAAAAUAUGUAAUAUAUUUACUUUUACUA
rnacentral:tRNA from 1 species